AUUUAAAUAGUUUAAAGUUAAAAUAUAAUAUUGAAGAUAUUAUGAUAAUAUUAAUUUAUUUUUAAAUG
rnacentral:tRNA from 1 species